rnacentral:rRNA from 1 species
GAUGAACGCUAGCGGCAGGCUUAACACAUGCAAGUCGAGGGGUAACAGGGUGCUUGCACCGCUGACGACCGGCGCACGGGUGCGUAACGCGUAUAGAACCUACCUUUUACAGGAGAAUACCCCAGAGAAAUUUGGAAUAAUGCUCCAUAGUAUUAUUGAAUGGCAUCAUUUGAUAAUUAAACAUUUAUGGGUAAAAGAUGGCUAUGCGUUCUAUUAGCUAGAUGGUAAGGUAACGGCUUACCAUGGCAACGAUAGAUAGGGGUCCUGAGAGGGAGAUCCCCCACACUGGUACUGAGACACGGACCAGACUCCUACGGGAGGCAGCAGUGAGGAAUAUUGGACAAUGGAGGCAACUCUGAUCCAGCCAUGCCGCGUGCAGGAAGACGGUCCUAUGGAUUGUAAACUGCUUUUAUACAGGAAGAAACACUCCCUCGUGAGGGAGCUUGACGGUACUGUAUGAAUAAGCACCGGCUAACUCCGUGCCAGCAGCCGCGGUAAUACGGAGGGUGCAAGCGUUAUCCGGAAUCAUUGGGUUUAAAGGGUCCGUAGGCGGGCUAAUAAGUCAGGGGUGAAAUCCAACAGCUUAACUGUUGAAUUGCCUUUGAUACUGUUAGUCUUGAGUUAUAUGGAAGUAGAUAGAAUGUGUAGUGUAGCGGUGAAAUGCUUAGAGAUUACACAGAAUACCGAUUGCGAAGGCAGUCUACUACGUAUAUACUGACGC